rnacentral:rRNA from 1 species
UGGGGAAUCUUGGACAAUGGGGGCAACCCUGAUCCAGCCAUGCCGCGUGAGUGGUGAAGGCCUUAGGGUUGUAAAACUCUUUCACCGGUGACGAUAAUGACGGUAGCCGGAGAAGAAGCCCCGGCUAACUCCGUGCCAGCAGCCGCGGUAAUACGGAGGGGGCUAGCGUUGUUCGGAAUGACUGGGCGUAAAGCGCGCGCAGGUGGCCCGUUAAGUCGGCUGUGAAAUCCCCUGGCUCAACCAGGGUAGUGCAGUCGAUACUGGCGGGCUCGAGUCCCGGAGAGGGUGGUAGAAUUCCCAGUGUAGAGGUGAAAUUCGUAGAUAUUGGGAGGAAUACCGGUGGCGAAGGCGACCGCCUGGACGGGUACUGACACUGAGGCGCGAAAGCGUGGGGAGCAAACAGGAUUAGAUACCCCCGUAGUCC